GACAGAGGGUGCAAACGUUGCUCGGAAUCACUGGGCGUAAAGGGCGUGUAGGCGGGAAGGAAAGUCAGAUGUGAAAUCCCCAGGCUCAACCUGGGAACUGCAUUUGAAACUCCCUUUCUUGAGUGCCGGAGAGGAAAGUGGAAUUCCUGGUGUAGAGGUGAAAUUCGUAGAUAUCAGGAGGAACACCAGUGGCGAAGGCGGCUUUCUGGACGGUGACUGACGCUGAGACGCGAAAGCGUGGGGAGCAAACAGG
rnacentral:rRNA from 1 species